rnacentral:lncRNA from 1 species
AAAAUUUUAAUAUUCGAUGAUCUCCAUAAUCUUAUUCAAUUUAAGUAAUCUUAUUCAAUCACAUUAACAUGCCUCUCAAAUUAAUGUUGGUAAAAGUAUCAAUUUACAAUCAUGAACGAACGACAAUGACAAUACUCGUGCCCAUGAAGAAGAGACCCAAAUCACAGCAGAAACAACCAAGAACCACUCCAAGAACACUUCAAAGAGCUCAUAUCCCAAGAAGAAUUUUCAAAAUAAAUUCACAAAGUGUACCGACCUCACACAAUGAGCUCUAUCAGUCGAACAUAGAAUUUGCAUUCCAACGAAAGCUCUAACGAUCAAUUCACCGAUGAAAAGUUCAGCAAUAUAUUGCUGACCAAGAUGCUGCAGUUGGAAGAAAUCCAACCGAACAACCUACACCAAAAACUCAAAGAUCAUCCCUCCACUAGGAAUCCAAAACCACUCAAGGUUGACCUCUCAUGAGAAUCUAAAUCUUUAGCUCAUCAUUUAGCAUCAAUUUGUUUACAUGAAACUGAUGUAAAAAAGAACUCAAAGGUCCAACUCCAAUGGGCAAACCCCAAAAAUAACCUCACACACAUGCUACAGUCCAUCCUUCUUCUACUAUUCAUUAAGACCUCCAACAACAGCCGAAUAUACCAAAUCAACCCAUUACCAGGCCCAAAUACUAAAUCUGAAAGUUAAAAUCUCCAGCAACAGUCUAAUAUACCAAAUUGAACCAUAAUAAGGCCCAAACACCAAAUCCAAUAGUACUAAAACCAUGAACCUACACAUAACUACAAACUCGACAUAAAUUACAUCAUCUCCAUCUCCCAAACGCUAAACCAUUGUCGCUAUGGGUUUUUCUCCACGCCAACAAUGCCUCAUCCAAUCGGCAACCUAAUCUCUUUGUCUCUGGCAUUGCCUCCAUCCAGGCUCGGCUUGGCAGUAUCUUGAGAAUUUCCCUUCUCUCUAUUUCUUUGUCCCUUCUCUCUAUUUCUUUGCAAUUUUUGAACCCUUUUCAUAUUAGGGUAAUUUUGAGAUUCAUUUAUCUAUGCUUGCUUUGAAACUAGACCAAGUGAUUGAAGGCAUCAGAAGUGCAUAGUAGAUUCAAGGGAAUGGCGCCAAGAGAGCCGUUGCUGCGGUAAAUUAGUUGAAGAGCUUAGCAGCUUCGAUAGAGAUAUCGCCUUUACCGACACCGACCGUGCCGACAUCUUCAUCUGCUUGUUAUGUUAUUUUAUCUAUAUCAGUCUAUUGAUCGCAGAGUAAUUUAGGGCUUUAGGGUUUAAAGAAAAUGCGCCAUUGGAGAACUAAAGAGUACUCUUUCUCUUCUCUCCGUCUAUUUCAAUUUUGAUAAAUGGGAGUGAAAGAGGACGAUUUUGCUUUUCUGAACGAUUUACAAUAAUGGAGGUUGAAAGUCUCAAUAUGUUGAAACGUGAACAAGAAAAAGAAACCAUUAACUCAAUUCGACGAAGACCAAGCGGAAGGAGCAAAACCUCAUCUUGCUGUGAGAAAACCGAACCAAGAAAACGAGAAAAAAUUCUAAGAAAGAGGCUCUAAUACCAUGUCAAGUAUGAUAUUCAAUAAGACUUGAUGCCUCACAAUGUGAAAUGUUCUCAUUGUAUAGAACCAAAUCAUAACUAAAUAUGGUAAAAAUAAUCUAUCUAUUUGUCAUAAUCUUCGACUAUUUCCAUAAUCUUAUUCAAUCUCCACAAUCUUCAAUCUCAUUAACACUUUGAGACUAGUUUACUUAGGAUCAUGUUACAUAUUUCCCGCACCAUUACUUCUACAACUUAAGUUCUUCUAGAAGUCUUUGUACUAGUGAAUUAUAGUUCCUAUUUGGUGCAAAUUAAAAUAAAGAUUUUAAUUUAAGUCAAAGUCAAUAACUAAUUUUAACUGCACCUUUAUGGGAUCCACAACUUUACAACCAUACAUUUCAACAAUUUUUAUCAAAAUCUACUAAAAAACUAAUUUUAAUCCCCACCAAACGUGGGCAUAAUUUAUUUAUCAAUAUGGGAUCAACUUACAAUGUCUCAUUACUAUUUCAUUUUAAUCCCCACCAAACGUGGGCAUAAUUUAUUUAUCAAUAUGGGGUCAACUUACAAUGUCUCAUUAUUAUUUCAUUGCAGUUCAUUGCUUCUUUCUAUCAACACAUCGUGGUUCAGAGAUGAGUAUCUCUUUCUCUCUCUCUCUCUAGUGUGCAUGAGCCUACAUGCAUUCCCAUCUACGGUAUAAAUAUGCAUACAAGAAUGCACAAAAGAAUAUAUAUUGAAGAUAGGGACAUAUGGUUGUUUGAAAAACUGAUAUAAUGGGGAAAGAUUGUACUAAAAUCAACAUUACUGACAAAUAUUAACUUCUGUGGACCUAGGUGAAAAGUCCACUUGAAGAAAAUGAAAUGGUUGGAAUCACUAAUUACAUUGACUUUGGCUUUGAGUUACAGACAAGGUAUUUUCAUAUGUUAAAUAUCGCAUACAUUGAUAUCAUAUAAAGUGGUGGAAUCCGACUUCAUUUUAUACUUUUCGUGAAGUAUUGACGAUGAAAAGUCAUUAAAUAAUAUUCAAGAGUCCACUUUUCAAGUGGCUGCAUCUUGGCAAGCCAAUAAAAACUUCUUACUGAAGGUAACACAAUUUUGAUAAUGUUUCUAAUCAUUUAGUUUGUGAUAGUAUUAUUUGUGAAGCAAUUAAGUUUAAGACAUCAAUGUGUCAAUUUUGCAGGGAAAUUCAUCAAUAGCUUUAGCAUUUAAAUCAUGGUGGAAACCUUCUUUCAUUUUCAGCAUGUCAGGUAUCUGAUAUGUGUGUCCCCUCGUUCUUAAGAGAUUUAGCUACAAAAUUCUAUGCCUCAAAAUUCGCUGUAUAAUAUCGAGCAUUUUAUAAUAGCUUGUUGUUUAAUCUUCAAAUAUUGCUCAUUAGUAGUAAACUUGCACAUUUGUCUAUAUCUCUGAACAAGUUAUGCUAUCACUGCUUUCGUUUUUUUCAUCGUUGAAGUAGAAUAAUUUUUAGGACAGACAGUGUUGUUCGAGACCUUGAGAGCAUGUGUUAUAUGCAUUAGUAGAAAGGAUUGGACAAUACAAUAUACUAGAUUUAGUUUAUUUUUCUUAUUUAGCCCCUAUUUGUUUUUCAUUGUUUCUAUAUUAAAAUGAAAAAUAUGACCGUUAUCCAUCACAUCAAACCAUCAAAUUUGAAUUUUGAUCUCUUGUGUGGGGCCUAUAACGGCUAUAUUUUUCAUUCUCAUUUUUACAAAAAUGGAAAACAAACGCUCCUUUAAUAUUGUUGAUUUUUUUUUUUUUUAAUUUUAUUCGAUCCACCUUAUGAAACAUGUCAUAACAAUGUAGAAUUGAGGAUGAAGAUAUUGAUUCCCGUUUUGUUGUUUCUCUAUCAUUCUUUGCCCCUCAUUCUCUGUUUAUAUAAUUUAUCUCAUUCUUCAACCAUUAAUUUCACUGGCUUACAACUGUCAGAGAUCGGACAAAACGAGGGACAUCAUUUGGAUUUGGUGUUCGUGUCGAUAACAUUAGGGAAGUAAGGUUGGAUACAUUUCCCUGUAUGCCUUCUCGAUACGAUUUUAUAAGCCCACGGAGGCUCCACCUUUGUAUUGCCAUUCUACAUCCAUGGAAAUUUGAUAUCAUCGCUUCCCUGAUUGUAGUUAUCAAAGGACAGACCCAAAUUUCGUUAUGUUGACCCCAAACAAGGAGCAUCUAGCUGAGGGCAUAUGCUGGAAAAUUAAGAAAAGACGAGUGCUCCCAUUUGAUGUAAAUUCUGGAAAUUUUGAUGGCAUGCCCAGGGAAUUGAGACCCUUGGCCAAAAUUUUGAAACCUUUUGGCAAUUUUGCUUUUGUUUGAUGGAAAAAUGAUCUACUAAGUAUCGAUGCUUAACUUAUAUUAAAAUCGGUG